UCCUGACAUGUAAAUUCCCGUCAACUUAUGUAGAAGAAUCAAUCUGUAGUUAAUGAGAUGUAUUCCAAAUAUUCAUGUCUGAUUUCACUAAGGUCGUGUUUUCAAUUUUGCUGCAUACGUGAUGGAGUUUAACAUUUGUAAUAAUAUAAUGCAUUUACUUAAUUUGUAUUAGAUUAUUUAUUUUCUGUGACGUGCAUGUGCGAGUAAAUUAGGUUGACCAAAUCCAUGAUUGUUUGGUGAUCCUAUAAUGAGGUGGUGUAAUGAGGCUGGACGGUGUUAAGCUAAUGACGCAUUUCUGUUCGCGUCACAGCACCACUUGGUCAAUCACGGCCGUCUUCCGGUGAAGAAUUUCUAAGUUUUAUUUACACCUUCCGUGUCCUUGCGUUAUGUAUAUCAUAUAUGUCAAUCCAUUUUUUCAAUGAUAAGAGUGAAUAUGUUUGUAUUCAACAAACUCUCUUUUUUACAGUGAGCUUGUGGCGUGGAUAUUUGUUUAAGCUGCUGGUUUUAAUUUUUAAAUAUUAUUUUGUUAGGUUACACCUGAUAUCAAAUUUCAACGGGAAUAGACGACACUAAACCUCGUGAACGAUGCUCUCACCACUCACCACUGAGUGAGAAGACUUGUGUUCUUGGUUUAAAAAAAGGAGACCCACUGAGGAAACUUGUAAAACUCAAAGAUGGGUUCAUUGAUGGAGUCAAAAAGGAGCUCAUGGUCAGCAGAACAAAGCUGAGUAUGAUAAAAUGGAUCAUCUUUUUCUUCAAAUUGGUUACAGAGAGCCUGUCCCUUUGCUUCA